rnacentral:tmRNA from 1 species
AAUGUUGCAAGAAAUUCUUCGUUCAUAGUAUAAUGAGACGUUGAAUUUAUCGACUAUAACGAUAAAUAUUGGUUGGAAUAAAUGACUUGGACCCGGGGGCGGUACCCGGCACCUCCAUUUGUAAUGCGGGGGUGAUACAGCUUCGACAGGCAUUGUAAAGAACCGAUGUUCGUUCGCAAUUGUUCCGGCGUUAUCGGGCUGAAAAGUAUAGAUGCCAAAUUAUAUAGCAUCUUGGGUUGUGCAAAUGGUCGUCGUCGUAACAAGCGUACGGUCGUUGCGAACAGUAACAGCAAGCGUGCUGUUUCUGCUAUUGCUGCUUAAUUCGCUUAGCGGUGGAUUGAAUAGCUUUAAACUCGCGGUUGAGGGCUACCGGGCAACAGAAAGCCCUCAUA